rnacentral:rRNA from 1 species
GAGAGGACCAGAGUGGACGAACCUCUGGUGUACCGGUUGUGACGCCAGUCGCAUCGCCGGGUAGCUAUGUUCGGAAGGGAUAACCGCUGAAAGCAUCUAAGCGGGAAGCCUACCUCAAGAUAAGAUUUCCCUAGGAAUUUAUUCCUCUAAAGAGCCGUUCGAGACUAGGACGUUGAUAGGUUGGAUGUGGAAGCAUAGUGAUAUGUGAAGCUGACCAAUACUAAUUGCUCGUGAGGCUUGACUAUACAACACCCAAGCAGUUG